AAUCCCCUAGGAUUCUUGGUUACAUUUUUAUUAUUAUUUGCAUUCUUGUUUCAGGACAUUUCUUCCCCCUUUCUCUCCUCUCUCCUCCACUCCACUCCACCCCCCCCCAACUUGAUAUGCUAGUUCUGAUGCUACUUAACAUUCACUGUUUAUUUUUAGAGCGAACGGCGUCAGGCAGAUUUGUACUCAUUGUCUGCAAAGGCACGUUUUGGCUCCUCCAGCACAGUCAGGGAGAAGACAAUAUUGGGUGAUUGUGCCUGUGCAAACCUAAAAAUGAUUUUAAUUAAACCAUCGCAGCAGCUUUUGCAAUGCCAGAGUUGUGUUCUGAGUGGCAUGCUUCAUGCACUAGCAUUGUAUUUUGUGUGUGUGUGUGUUUUGAAGCAACCCCCCCCCCCCCAUAUUCAAAUAACAGUCAAUCAAGCCACACACACCCCACCCCCUUUGGGGAUUGCAGGUGUUCUGCAAGAAAUUGAAUCUGAUGUUGUUUUGCCGCCUUUAUUUAUGGCCCCUGAAACAAAUGAAAAAAUGAGACUGAGAACAAAACUCUUGCUACCUUCAUUAAAGUGAAACGUUGUGUUUCCAGCUUCACCCUUUGCUCAGUCUCAGUUUGUGUGUCAGGAUUCCUGUCUCUCCCUUCCUUCCGCCAGACCUCCUUCUCUUCCCUUGUUUGUUUAGGUUUUUGUGUUUUUUAAUUUGUUCUGCUUGGUUAAUCUGGUUUGUUUGUUGGUGGCACAAGGAGCUGCUUUUUAAAAUUUAUUUAUCCCUGGGGGGGUCGAGGCUUCUGUUCACUCUGGAACGCUUAGAAACAACUGGAAUGCGGGUGGACGGAUUUAGCAUGAAUAUUGCAGAGCCUCACUGGUGACAGUCAAACGGGGUAUGCCUGUCGUUUUGCAUGACUGGUGCAGGUGUAUCAAUCUCCGGCUAGGGAAAUCUUGCCUCUUCUGUGAACUUAGUAGGUGGAUUUUGGUGAAGUUGACCUCUCACAGUCUUGACCACUGCUCUGGAUUGCAUUCACUUGCCUGAGAGGGUGGGGGUUAGGUUUCCAGAAAGACGAUUAAUACAAAGUGCUAUACAAAUGCAAAAUGUGGGGUGCAUGUGCAAAUGCGUCAUGCAUUUGUUUCAUUUAUGAAUCACUUCCCUUGAGGCCCCCCGAAGCCAUUUACACUACAACAACAUAUGCAAAACACAUACAUAUGUAAGACAGUCAAAACAAUUGCAUAUAUAAAAGUGAUGGUUAAAUAAAACCCCAAUUAUAUAUAAAAAAACAGGUUAGAACAGCAGCAGGAUAUACAUAAAAUCAUUUCAAAUCCAGGACAGAUGCCAACUGGGAAUAAAGAUUUUAGACAGCUUAUUGAUAGCGGAACGCCUUGAGCAGGUGCUGAGAAGACCUGUCUGAAGUGCAGUGGCAGGGAGUUCCAAAGGCCCUAACCCAACAUUGUGUGGAACAGUCCUUCUGAGAGGAUGGUAUCUGCAGGAUGCUCUCCUUGCAGAAUGUAGUGAUUGGUUGGCUACGGAGGGGAUAUGGCAAUCGUUUGGGUGUCCUGGUCCCGAGCUGAAUAGGGUUUUGUACAGCAGUGACGGCACCUUCAACCAUGCAGCAUAGAGGCUUUACACCCAGGGUGACUUAUUUUGGGGGGGGGGCAAGGGCCACAUUCACACUUGACUAACCCUCUGAGUUUUGCAUGCCAGCAGUGGCUGUCACCCACCCACCCCACUCAGGACACACGCGGUUCAGCUGAUCUAUCUUCUGCCGUUUUACAUCUCCGUCACGAUUUUCUCUAAACUGAAAAGUCCUAAACACAGCAACCUUUCCUCCAUCAGGGAUUCACUCCAUCUUCUUGAUCCUUUCAGUGUUGCCCUUUUCUGAACCUUAAUAUUAGAAGAUUAAGGCUGCAAUCCUACCUACAAUUGCGUAGGCUCAAGCUCUGUUGAACUUAGUGGGAUGUUUGAGCAAGCAUACCUACGACGGGGCACAGUAUCUUUGGGAACAUAGAAAGCAGCCUUAUGCCCGCUUCAUAUUCUUCGUUCAUCUAAGCACAGUAUCAUCUGUUCUUAGAGGCAGCAGUUCACCAUGGUAAAAACUCAUCCUGCCCACUAAUUGCUUCCUGAUCCCUCUAACCAUUUAUGGUGCCACUUACUGACUUAUCCUAGGGCUUUUCAGAUGCAAAACUCCACCACUGAGAUACAACCCUUUCCCCAGGAUGGGGCACAAUACAUUGUUUGCUGGUAGGACACUAUCCAGUUUAUUUUAUUUUUUAAAUAAUAUUUAUUGAAUUUUAAAGGGUUACAAAAAGAAAGAAUUAAAAAACAGCAUAUUUAAGAAACACAAAACAUCACAUCACGAU